rnacentral:rRNA from 1 species
AACGAACGCUGGCGGCAUGCCUAACACAUGCAAGUCGAACGAGACCUUCGGGUCUAGUGGCGCACGGGUGCGUAACGCGUGGGGAUCUGCCCUUUGCUUCGGAAUAACAGUUAGAAAUGACUGCUAAUACCGGAUGAUGACUUCGGUCCAAAGAUUUAUCGGCAAAGGAUGAACCCGCGUAGGAUUAGCUAGUUGGUGGGUAAAGGCCUACCAAGGCGACGAUCCUUAGCUGGUCUGAGAGGAUGAUCAGCCACACUGGGACUGAGACGCGGCCCAGACUCCUACGGGAGGCAGCAGUGGGAAUAUUGGACAAUGGGCGAAAGCCUGAUCCAGCAAUGCCGCGUGAGUGAUGAAGGCCUUAGGGUGUAAAGCUCUUUACCCGGGAUGAUAAUGACAGUACCGGGAGAAUAAGCUCCGGCUAACUCCGUGCCAGCAGCCGCGGUAAU